UACGUAGGCAGCGAGCGUUGUUCGGAGUUACUGGGCGUAAAGGGUGUGUAGGCGGUUGUUUAAGUUUGGUGUGAAAUCUCCCGGCUCAACUGGGAGGGUGCGCCGAAUACUGAAUGACUAGAGUGUGGGAGAGGUGAGUGGAAUUCCUGGUGUAGCGGUGAAAUGCGUAGAUAUCAGGAGGAACACCGGUGGUGUAGACGGCUCACUGGACCAUAACUGACGCUGAGACACGAAAGCGUGGGUAGCAAACAGG
rnacentral:rRNA from 1 species